CCUACGGGUGGCAGCAGUGAGGAAUAUUGGUCAAUGGCCGGAAGGCUGAACCAGCCAUGCCGCGUGAAGGUCAGUGCCCUAUGGGCGUUAAACUUCUUUUGUGCGGGAGCAAUAAUGGUCACGUGUGGCCAGACGAGAUUACCGUACGAAUAAACAUCGGCUAACUCCGUGCCAGCAGCCGCGGGAAUACGGGGGAUGCAGGCGUUAUGCGGGUUUAUUGGGUUUGAAGGGUGCGUAGGGUGGUAGGUAAGUCCGCGGGGAAAUGCCCCCGCUCAACGGGGUGAAGUGCCAUUGAUACUGGCUUGCUGGAAGGCGGAUGAAGUGGGAGGAAUGUGUGGUGUAGCGGUGAAAUGCAUAGAUAUCACACAGAACACCGAUUGCGAAGGCAGCUUACGAAUCCGCGAUUGACGCUGAUGCACGAAAGCGUGGGUAUCAAACAGGAUUAGAUACCCCAGUAGUC
rnacentral:rRNA from 1 species